CUACGGGCCGCUGCAGUGAGGAAUAUUGGACAAUGGUCGAAAGACUGAUCCAGCCAUGCCGCGUGCAGGAUGAAUGCCCUAUGGGUUGUAAACUGCUUUUAUACGGGAAGAACACCACCCACGUGUGGGUGACUGACGGUACCGUAAGAAUAAGGACCGGCUAACUCCGUGCCAGCAGCCGCGGUAAUACGGAGGGUCCAAGCGUUAUCUGGAAUCAUUGGGUUUAAAGGGUCCGUAGGCGGGCUAUUAAGUCAGAGGUGAAAGUUUGCAGCUCAACUGUAAAAUUGCCUUUGAUACUGGUAGUCUUGAGUUAUAGUGAAGUGGUUAGAAUAUGUGGUGUAGCGGUGACAUGCAUAGAUAUCACAUAGAAUACCAAUUGCGAAGGCAGAUCACUAACUAUAUACUGACGCUGAUGGACGAAAGCGUGGGGAGCGAACGGGAUUAGAUACCCGUGUAGUC
rnacentral:rRNA from 1 species